rnacentral:tRNA from 1 species
UCCCUAGUGGCCUAGUGGUUAAGCACUCAACGCUGUCACUGUUGUGGCUCAGGUUCGAUCCCUGGCCUGGGAA